UUUGAUUAACAGGUUAACAGACAUCCAAUUAGAAGAUUCAUUUGUGGCUCUGAUUCAUGCUAAGAGAUAAAAGCUGUGAUUCAUGGUUGAACGACAAUGAACGGAAAAUAGAGAUCUAGCGCAGCGGCGGCGCACCACCAGAAACAGCUCUCCGAUAAUCUUCUUGACAUGUCUUCCUCCCAUGGCAGAUGGCUCUCAUCCACUGGUCUCCCAGACUCCCACACUUUCAGCCAUCCCCCAAUGAUUACGGAUACUAUGCCAGUGGUAGUCAACGCGGUGGUCUUGUUCAGAAAAAAAAUCAGAAUGCUCAGAGAGGGUUUAAUGGAGGAAAUGAGAUAGCUAGAUACGUAUGGUAUCAAAUGUUUCUUUCAAAAGUGAAUAUUUUAAUCAGUUGUUGUAUCUUAUUGAAGAUUCAGUCUGUAGAGUACAAUGUUAGCUAGCUUCUUUCUGGGUUUACUUUCAUAGCUUCUGUUGCAGGCUUAUGGUGUUGUUUGGUGACAUGUCAAGAAGAGAAAGUCGCUAUGUACUUGACAUACUUUUCUAUUAGCGUAGCUCUCUUCCUGUAUUUUUAUUUGGUAUUUUUCCUUAGUUGUGUUUUUGUGAAUAUCUUACAAUCAUAUAGCUGUCAAAAAUAUUAGUGUUAAAUUAGUUUAGCCGGCUAACAAAUAUGUUUAUAGUUUAUUAAAUUAGUUUAGACGGCAACAAAUAUGUUUCAAGCUAUUAAACUUAAACUAAUUUAGCUGGCUAAAUUAAACUUAAACUUAAACUAAUUUAGCUGGCUAACAAAUAUAUGUUUUUGUACUUAUUUUCUUUGAUUUUAUUUUGACUUUAUUUUAGCCGGCUAAUAAAUAUUAAAUCAUAUAGUUAAUACGUAAAUUAGUACGGUUAAAAUGUAAUUUUUAUAUUUUUAUAAAUUAGCAUGGUUAUAUUCCAAUUUAUCCGUAUAUUUUGCAUAUUAACUAAUGUUUUGAGUUAAAACUACCAGCUAUUGCAGUUGAUGAUAGUUAUGUUAAUUAGUAAAUGAAUAAUAUUUAAAAUAUAGCUAUGUAUGAUUGAACCAGUGACUAACCGAUUUAUAUAAAAUGUCUGAAGUAUAGAUUGUUGGAUGUAAAUAGAAUGGUUAUGUUUUAAUUUGUUCAGCUAACAAACCAGUUUUCCAAUUAUUUUGAAUGGUUGUUGGUUAUUUAAAUUAGUGGUGGACUAACAUAUAUAAUUAUCCGGUCAUUGUUAUUGUUAGUUGAAUUUUUCAAUCAAUAGUCGGUUGUUAUUAUAGAUUUAGACCCAAAAAUUAGUAUCAUAUCCAAUAAGCUAAAUAAUGCAUAUUAAGUAUCCGGAUAUUAUUAUUGUUAGUUGUACAUUUCGGAGAAUAGCCGGUUAUCAUUAUCGCAAAAAUACAAGUGAAAUUUAUCAACCGGUUAUUUCACAUAAUUACAUCACUACAAAAAACUUGUUAUUUUACAAAAUUUCAUCAUUAAACUCUAAACACACCAAAUUUUACAUUAAAUUCGAACACAUAAAAGUGAAUUUCUUGGAGAUUCCAUACUUUUUGCAUAUAUUUUCUAUAAUAAUCCAACCACGAACUGUUGUUCUAAUCACAUGGUCAGGUUCAGUACCAGCCCCAUCAAUAUAUGGUUCACUAUUCUGCAACAAAACAAAAUCUUCACACAUCGAGUAAUUCCUAAAAAUAAGUAAGCUCAUGAUAAGGUAUCCAGGCUAAAAAUAGUUGAAAAUAAACAUGAAAAGAGGGAUGAAGCAUAUAAGCAAAACGACAUCUGGUAAAUCUAAAGUAAAAUUACGAUCUCUAACUGCAACACUUUUCCCUAAAUUUAUCGAUUCUCCCACAUAAAUCAUCACCCGGGAUAAAGACCAUACCCUGAGAUCUAUCUCUCUUCCGUUCAAUCCCGCCGUAGACGACGGCGCUUGGCUAUCACCGAUAUGGUUUCGUCUUCAAUCCUCGACCGGUUCAGAUUCUGUUAGCUAGUUUUCGCGACGGUGAUUUCACAGGACCAUUCGCUUAGAGUGUAAGUGGAAGAAGAGAUGUUACGGAGACAUCUUCAUGCGAUAAUGACUCAGCACUUGAAAGUUGAAACUCCUCGAACUCAGAUUUCCAUUUAACAUCACUGGCUUCUCUCUUCGAUCUGUUUUGAGAGAGAGAAAACAAAUGAUAAAACAAUUGAAAAAUGAAAAUACUAAAAAAUGGAAAAAUAAAUUAAUAGGCUUUGUGCAUAGGGGACAGGGGCAGCAGUGGUAUUAUAAAAAUUGAACAGUGAAAAUUCCAUUUUGGCAAAUAUAGCUGUUAUGUUUGUAUAGAGAGUGCAAUUACUCUUAAAAUUAUGCACCUAGAUUAAAAAAUUAUUAUUUUUUAUAUUUUAUACAUCAUUAAUUAUUUACCUAACCACAAAUCAACCAAAAAUAAAAUAGAAGGUAUAUUAUUAUAUAAUAUUAAAUAUUAAUAAAUUUUACAUAAAAAAUCGAAAAUGACAUAUAAUUUGGAACAUAAAAAUUUUUCUAAAACGAUUUAUAUUAAAAAUGGAGGGAGUAUAUAUUAUAGAUUGUAAAAGAGGAGAAAUGUUGGAAAAUAUUUAUUUUAAGAAUUUAACAAAAGGAUAUGUUAAAAGUAAAAAUAAAUAAAAUAAGGAGAGAGGGACAUGAUUCCUAACAGAAAAAGACAAUGAUAAGUGAGUUUAUAUUUGACUUUACAGUUUCCAUUUGUAUAGUCAAUGUUUAUACAUAAAUAAAACUAUUCAAUAUCUUAAGGAACUGCUCACUUGAUCAUGGUUCUAAUACGCUUAUGUGUUUUCACUUCUAUUUUUUUUUUUUUAAAUAGGUGAUUCUUUUGUAAUCAACUCUUCAGAAAUUCAAAUAUGGAAAACUCUUUAAACUAAGAUUAUACGUUUUACCAAAAAAAAACUAAAGUAUACGUGAAUAAUCAACCCGUACUGCUCUGCAUCUCGAUCUUCAAUUCAAAUUACGAACUGCAGCAGGAUCCGUAUAGUAUAAAGACUUGGUUACAUCAUUUUACAAAAUCAUAGUUUAGAUGUUUCUGAAAAAAGUGAAAAUGAUGAAACACGUUUUUAGAUACUGUAUGUACCUAAUUUUUAUAACACAAUAUAAAUAAAUGAUUGUACAUAACUAGAAUUGUAGCAAUCUUUGAUAAAUUCUCGAUGAUGAUCCCAAAUAUUGCAAUUAGUGACUAUUAAGUCAUGAUUAUCGGUGGACCUAAAAGUCAAUAAUUAAUGCUACUUACGUUUUUGAUUUUACGUUCUAUCUCUAACACAUCAAAAAUGUUUUCAUUUUACUAUUUCUUUUAUCCGAGGUUUUUUUGUUUGAAAAAGGGCUUUAUAAAGAUUGACAGAAAGUAGUCAAAUGUAUAAACCUUAUUUGUGUAUGAUCGGUCGCAUCUUCAUAUCCAAGAGGUUUGAAUGCAUAUAUAUGCUUGAAGCUUUUAUAAGAAACUAGAUAUAUAUAUGUUUAGUUUGAAGUUAUAGUACAUUUUCAUUUUCUCAAAAAAAAAGGGUGCAUUUUCUCUCAUAUUAUCAGCCUGUAACUUACCAAAUACCACUCAACCUCUAUUUUGAUAGGAGACAAAAUAAAGCGAAGCUUACACAGAUUUACAUGUUCGCAGUUGAUAUUCACGACUAAAUUUGUGGAAUAUGUACGGAUGCACCAAACUUCUUAAAGAUUUUUUGUUGGUGAGUAGGACUUUUCUUUCACUAUCGUUGUCUGAACGGUUUUAUUAUUAUUUAUUAUAUUUGGGGGUUAAAAAUAUUUGGUUCAUUUAAAAGUGAGAGGCUGCUGUGUAGGCAAAGUUACAUGAUAGAUGAUGUUUCUUAUGACAUUUAUAUAUGAAACUAAGGUCGGCCUACGGUUGGAAUACUCUUUACUUGUGAUAUAUGUUAUUAUUUUUGGUAUGAUUUUGGGUUUGUAUUUUAGGUUUGCAUUUGCAGAGAAGUGUAUAAUAAUGAUUUUUGUAUUUCAGAAAAUUAUAAAUAUGGAGAGAUAAUGUGUUUUAAAAUAAAAGUACAGAGAAAUAAUAUGUGAUAAAAUAUAUUUAAAACUAAAUAGUUGUUUCUAUAUUAAAAAGUUGUGGCGUUAAUAUGCUGAGAAGGCUUCAAAUUGUUUUCAUGUUGUUUUCUUUAACAAAAAUUUGAUCCCAUAUUCAGGUGGUUUGUGAUAUUUGGGUUCGGAAAAAUUGGGUUGUGAGUAAUUUUUAUGUUGAUAUCAUAGUUUUUUGACAUGUUAUUGGAGUGGAAUGAGUGAUUAUUUGGAGCUGCAUUUCUUAUUAAAAGUAGAAUGUUAUAUUGAAUGCGAAGAAGGUAAAGCUAACCUAAUCAAAAUUAUAAAAAAUAACACUGAAGGCAAUAUCUGGUGUAUGAUAAGGCAGGACUUUGUUCUUUGAGAUAGUCAUAUGAUUAUUCAUGUCGGGCAGUUAAUAUUUGAAGCACUUGGAGGAAGUUUUAAAAAAGAAAGAAACUCACUAUCCGUAUUAAACCAAUGAGCAUGGACCCAAACUAUAUAAAUUUUGAUGAUAUUUUUUUUGUCAUAUAUAAAUAUUUUGAUUAAAUUUAAAUUAGCAUAAACCCUAAAUACAUCUAUGAGUAAUACUACUAAAAAAAUGAUAACUAAAUGAUUAAAAGUUUAUUUAAAUUUAUUUGUUUAUUAGGUUAAUUAACAAAUUGAUUUCCAAGUUUAGCAUAUUUUAACUAAAAAAAUCUCAAAUUUAUUAAAAUUCGAUGAUACUAUAUAUAUAUAUAUAUAUAUAAAUACUCAUUAAAUAUAAUAUUUACUUACAAAUUUUUUUUUUAUAAUAAUGUAAUAUUAACUUUAUUGAAAUUUAAACAAAAUCUAACUAAAAUAGUUAAAUCAAAUCAAAAGAAAUAAGACUACACAAAAUAUGUCUAUGAUUUUUAAACCAUUAAAAUUUAAAUAUUAAACUAAUAAUGUUCAAGUAGAAAUUUUUUUUUGAAAUUAAAAAAAUGUAUUAUAUUUAAAAUUAUUAUCUUAUAUCUUAUAACAUAAAGAAGAAGGCAACUCUCUUUUUAGGCUGCCAGCGCAACAAAUAGAUUCAGUACUAUUCGCCACGUGUCCAAGCAUUUAAACGCAGCGCGUUAUUUAGUCCGUGCUUUAUAUGACGCGUUGUUUUGUUGGGCCUUGCUAUUUAGCCCAUGCAAUACAAGAUUGUACGAUACACAAUGUUUUGAAUUAGGUUUACGGUGGUUGUUUUGUUUCGUCUCCAGAUUGAAUCGUUUCUCUCCUUGCGCAGCUGACCUUCCAUCUCCUCCAUCGCAAGACCUCAUAAACUGAACGAGUGUCUUUAAUCCCUCCAUUAAUCUAUCAACCACGAUCUGGAUGCAAUGCGAUAUUUGAUGUCCGAUGCGUUUGAGACGACUAUAAGAAGUCUGGUGGCUCCUCCUCCACCGUCGAAGUGCGCUUGCUUCGCUUCUGGGAGGCUAGAAACGUCUGCCGUGGUGGAGAACUCAUGGGCGUCGACAUGCUCUUGCUCGACUCUCAGUCAACCAUGAUGCCGGCUACCGUUAAUGUUAACCGAUUUUGAAGUCACACGUUGUAACCAGAAUUAUCGCCUGUCAGACUCUUCUCUACUAAUCCGGUUUACCGACUCCACCUCUUUCAAGAAGGUCGCCGAACCAGCCGUUCCGAUACCUCUUGAAUCAUUCCUGUUCCGUAACUACAGUGAGAUGCUUGGUCUUGCUAACUCCAACAAUCAAUUACCGGGUAAUGCUCCUCUUAUUAUCUCUUCUGAUUACAUAUAUAAGGAUAUCUGAUAGUCUUUUGCUCACAAAUCUUAUUGGUGAGAUUACUGCUGUCAAGAGUACGGUCACUGACCCUCCUCAGGACAAUAAUCGUGUCAUGGCGACCAUUAGGAUGGAGAAUGACACAUCUGUGACUAUGAGCCUCUUUGACGCUCAGGCUGUUAAGAUUCAUAAUCAGCUGGAGCAGAUGGGAGUGGAUCCAAGGGUUGUCGUUGCAACCAGUGUGAACCCGAAGAUUGUGGGAGGGCGUCUGUUUUUGAACGCCACAUCCGGCACACACAUCUAUUUCGACAAGCAAACAGAUGCAGGGGAACAAUUGUUUUACAGGUUGGUUGAGCAAGACACUGGGCUCCCGCCAGUA